GACGGAGGAUGCAAGCGUUAUCCGGAAUGAUUGGGCGUAAAGCGUCCGCAGGUGGCAGUUCAAGUCUGCUGUCAAAGACCGGGGCUUAACUUCGGAAAGGCAGUGGAAACUGAACAGCUAGAGUAUGGUAGGGGCAGAGGGAAUUCCUGGUGUAGCGGUGAAAUGCGUAGAGAUCCGGAAGAACACCGGUGGCGAAGGCGGCCCACUGGAUCGGUACUGACGCUGAGGUGCGGAAGCGUGGGGAGCAAACAGG
rnacentral:rRNA from 1 species